CGCCGGACCGAGACCACCUUACAGAGAAUGCUAGAAACAUCUGAGAAAAGCGUAACAUCGCGACGACAAAAGCAAACGGUAAAAACUGCAGUUCAUGACACCUAUAGACGUUUGCUCAAAGCAACCGACACCUUUCAUGGAUGAAACCUAGAAGAAAGCUUCAACAGUGCUUCAAAUGUAGAAGUAUCUCUACUACUUAAACGCGAAG